ACGCUGGCGGCAGGCCUAACACAUGCAAGUCGAGCGGAAACGACACUAACAAUCCCUCGGGUGCGUUAAUGGGCGUCGAGCGGCGGACGGGUGAGUAAUGCCUAGGAAAUUGCCUUGAUGUGGGGGAUAACCAUUGGAAACGAUGGCUAAUACCGCAUAAUGCCUACGGGCCAAAGAGGGGGACCUUCGGGCCUCUCGCGUCAAGAUAUGCCUAGGUGGGAUUAGCUAGUUGGUGAGGUAAUGGCUCACCAAGGCGACGAUCCCUAGCUGGUCUGAGAGGAUGAUCAGCCACACUGGAACUGAGACACGGUCCAGACUCCUACGGGAGGCAGCAGUGGGGAAUAUUGCACAAUGGGCGAAAGCCUGAUGCAGCCAUGCCGCGUGUAUGAAGAAGGCCUUCGGGUUGUAAAGUACUUUCAGUUGUGAGGAAGGGGGUAGYGUUAAUAGCGSMAUCUCUUGACGUUAGCAACAGAAGAAGCACCGGCUAACUCCGUGCCAGCAGCCGCGGUAAUACGGAGGGUGCGAGCGUUAAUCGGAAUUACUGGGCGUAAAGCGCAUGCAGGUGGUUCAUUAAGUCAGAUGUGAAAGCCCGGGGCUCAACCUCGGAACUGCAUUUGAAACUGGUGAACUAGAGUACUGUAGAGGGGGGUAGAAUUUCAGGUGUAGCGGUGAAAUGCGUAGAGAUCUGAAGGAAUACCAGUGGCGAAGGCGGCCCCCUGGACA
rnacentral:rRNA from 1 species